GGCCGCCGGGGGGCUUACGCCCCCGGGCCCGCGCCCGCCGAAGACACCCUCGAACUCUGUCUGAAGAUUGUAGUCUGAGUGAAAAUAUAAAUUAUUUAAAACUUUCAACAACGGAUCUCUUGGUUCCGGCAUCGAUGAAGAACGCAGCGAAAUGCGAUACGUAAUGUGAAUUGCAAAUUCAGUGAAUCAUCGAGUCUUUGAACGCACAUUGCGCCCCCUGGUAUUCCGGGGGGCAUGCCUGUCCGAGCGUCAUUUCUGCCCUCAAGCACGGCUUGUGUGUUGGGCCCCGUCCUCCGAUCCCGGGGGACGGGCCCGAAAGGCAGCGGCGGCACCGCGUCCGGUCCUCGAGCGUAUGGGGCUUUGUCACCCGCUCUGUAGGCCCGGCCGGCGCUUGCCGAUCAACCCAAAUUUUUAUCCAGGUUGACCUCGGAUCAGGUAGGGAUACCCGC
rnacentral:rRNA from 1 species